UGCUGCUGGACUAGUUUUUAUUUAGAUCCAGGUUAAAGACCCACCUGUUCUCUGCUGCAUGGACUAGUUUUUAUUUAGAGUCCAGAUCUGGAUGUACAUGAAAUGUGUGUACAAAUACAUUUCCUUACCUUCUUCAAGUCUCUGGUUCUGAUGCUGCACCCGUGUCUUCCAGCUGAACCGUACGUCAGGCUGUACUCCACCACGCCCCCUGCUGGUCGCCAUCCCGCCAUGUUGGUCUGCAGAGUCUACGACUUCUACCCUAAAACCAUCAGAGUCAGCUGGCUCAGAGACGGACAGGAAGUCACCUCUGAUGUCACUUCCACCGAUGAGAUGGAGGACGGUGAUUGGUACUACCAGAUCCAGUCCCACCUGGAGUACACACCCAGGUCUGGAGAGAAGAUCUCCUGUAAGGUGGAACACGCCAGCCUGAAGGAGCCUCUGAUAAAGGACUGGGACCCGUCCAUGCCUGAGUCAGAAAGAAACAAGAUCGCCAUCGGAGCCUCAGGACUGAUCCUGGGUCUGAUCUUAUCUCUGGCUGGAUUCAUCUACUACAGGAGGAAGGCCCGAGCAUGAAAACCGCUGGUCCUGGAAGGAAAGGGGAUCUGGAAAGGGAUCCUUUAUCCAGAUAAAUCCAGUUGUAUCCGGUUGGGUCUCAGUUGUGUUGAGUUGGAUGUUACUUAGAAGAAGGAGGCCGGUUCCUUCUCUCUGGGUUAGCGAUGUUAGCAGCGAGGCUAACCAAGCAGCAGGAGGUCGUAUUCUGGUUCCUACAAACUGAGACUGGAUCCUGGUCCUGGACCUGGUCCUGGUUCUGGUCCUGUCAGAUGUAGAACCAGCUGCUGCUUUAACCUGCCUCCUCCUCCUCAGCAUAAGAUGAUCCUGGUUGGACCGGACUGAUGUAAACCUGAUCCAGAACUGGACUAACAGGUCUGAACCUGAUCCAGGACCCUCACAGUGGUCCUCCAUCAGGACUCAGUCCUCUGACAGUCCUGGAUCAGGUGUGAUCUGGACUGUGGUGUGUGCUUCUCUGUGUAAAUCAGUGUGUUCUAUAACAUGUAAUCAGAUCUAUUGAUGAUGAUCAGCUUCAUUGUUUUACUGUUUUCAGUUUUUAAUAAACAGAAACUCUCCUGUC